GAUGAACGCUGGCUACAGGCUUAACACAUGCAAGUCGUGGGGAAACGGCAUUAUGUGCUUGCACAUUCUGGACGUCGACCGGCGCACGGGUGAGUAUCGCGUAUCCAACCUGCCCCUUACUUGGGGAUACCCCGUUGAAAGACGGCCUAAUACCCGAUGUGUUUCAUUGACGGCAUCCGAUAUGAAACAAAGGUUUAUCCGGUAAGGGAUGGGGAUGCGUCUGAUUAGCUUGUUGGCGGGGCAACGGCCCACCAAGGCGACGAUCAGUAGGGGUUCUGAGAGGAAGGUCCCCCACAUUGGAACUGAGACACGGUCCAAACUCCUACGGGAGGCAGCAGUGAGGAAUAUUGGUCAAUGGACGCAAGUCUGAACCAGCCAAGUAGCGUGCAGGAUGACGGCCCUAUGGGUUGUAAACUGCUUUUAUGUGGGAAUAAAUUGGCGCACGUGUGCGCCAUUGCAUGUACCUCAUGAAUAAGGACCGGCUAAUUCCGUGCCAGCAGCCGCGGUAAUACGGAAGGUCCGGGCGUUAUCCGGAUUUAUUGGGUUUAAAGGGAGUGUAGGCGGUCUGUUAAGCGUGUUGUGAAAUUUAGGUGCUCAACAUUUAACUUGCAGCGCGAACUGUCAGACUUGAGUACACGCAGCGCAGGCGGAAUUCAUGGUGUAGCGGUGAAAUGCUUAGAUAUCAUGAGGAACUCCGAUCGCGAAGGCAGCCUGCGGGAGUGUUACUGACGCUUAAGCUCGAAGGUGCGGGUAUCGAACAGG
rnacentral:rRNA from 1 species